rnacentral:lncRNA from 1 species
UUUAUUCUAAAUGUUAUAUAUUAUCAAUCCGGUACGUUCAGUUGUUGAUUUGCUUCAGUUUACCUUCUCAGCGUACUUCUGUCAUCAUAUUUCUGGAGAAGCUUAUUUUUUUCCUCCUUAAGAGAGGCUUCCUUGUCAUUUCCUUUAUUUUCUUUUGGAACUUUAUUAAGACAUAUGGUACAGCCUGUCACCAUAACUCUCAUGUCUUUUAAUGGCUCUUUCAUGGUUUUAUUUCUUUUUAAAAAAAAAUGUGUGUGUAUUGCAUUCUGGGUGAUAUUCUCUAUCUUAGUUAUCCAGUUCUCAAUUUCACUGUGAUGGUUAGAUAUUUUAAUCUCUAUUGAGUUUCUUAAGUGACUGCAUAUAUUUUUAUUUUCCACAAUUUAACAUUUCCCUUAUUAUUGAACAGAAUUCAGAGUUUUCUUAUGCUGUCCUUUACUUCUCUGGGGACUCUAAAUUUACUUAUUUUAUAACAUUGUAUAUAGCAUUCAAAUUUCCUCUAGAGUAAACCCAUCUUCUACUGCUUGUUUGUUGUCUUUCUUUAAGUUUUUGAUUUUAAAAUGUUAGAUGCCCUUGAAUGCUUCUAUGUGUGUGUACACAUGUGCGUGUGUGUGUUUCCCUUCACCUCUCCUUCUCAGAUCCCUUCUUCCUUACCUGGUAGAUUUGUGGUUGCCUUCUUCUGACUUCCUGUUGUUGAACCAGGUUAUACUAUCUAGCUGGGAAUUUUUUCUUGUGGUAAUAGUAGAUAUAUUAUGGAUUUGAUAUCUCAUCAAUAAUCAGUUUGUUCCUGAAUUAUGGACUUAUAACUGGUUCAUCUUCCUCUCUAAAAAGUAAUCAUUUUUUUUUAAUAUAAUAUAAUAAGCCAGGACCCCAGGAGGUGAUCAGUAUGGGCUUUUCAGCUAUUUCCUUGGAUUGGGAGUGUGUCACUUCAGAUUUUGUUUUGAGUCAAAAGCCCAGACAUUUUUAUCCCCCAUCUGUGUAGAUAUGCUGUUGGCCCCUCUCUGUCUACCUCAUGGUGUCCAUUAUGGUCUUAUUCAAGGAGACUAUAACCCGGAUAGAGAAUAUCAGUGCUCAUCCUCAUGGCCAGGGGAAGCCCCAGCCAGAGAUGAAUGGGAAGCAGAGUGGUAUUCGAAGUGGGAAGCAGAGGUAUUUAUGGCUUAGAAUACUUCCAUGAGUUUUCAGAAGAGACUAGAGAUGUUCCGCAGAAAAAUUGGCUCUUUAUCUCAACAGAACUGACCUAAUUUUCAUUGCAUGACCCUUUCCUUUCUUGUUCUGGUAACUACUAAUCUCUUCAUUACUUGGGGUCUAGGGUGAGAUAACAGCUCUCCCCUGGGGUAGAGAAACCUAUUGUUUACGUUACAUCUUGACAUUAUUUGGGAAUCAGUCCCUUUAUUAAACCUUCCUGAGUCAUCUUAAUAUCAGUGUGUUGCCACCAUCCUGCUGAUUGAUUAAUAAGCCAUCUCUCGGCAGGAGAAUUCCAGUAUCUCUUGCUCGAUUCUGAAGUAAUAGUCCUACUUAUCUGCAGGUUCAGAUCCACUUAUCUCUUUGUUUUUCUCUUCCAUAUCUGUCUGAUGAAAUAUUUAAUUCAGUUUAUGAGAUUUAUUAAGGUGUGCUAUUCUUCUUCUAAAACGACUUCCCUAUCACUGCUGUGUGCUUUGAGCAGGGGGUGGAGUGAGUCAGUUGUUCAUAAAAUGAAAUGAAAAUGUUACAUUGACUAAUCUCUUGACUUCCUCUAUUUAUGCAAUAUUAAAGUUUCCAAGGCAGAGAAAACUUGAGAUAUUGCAACGGUGAUAGUUGCAGGGAAAUACUUUCAAAUUAUCCAAGAAGCUAUUUAUAGGAAUUAAAGUUAAAUGGGUGUCUCCAAAGGCCAACUGGAUGAUAGUCCUAGAAUUCCUGACAUGGUAUGGGAGUAGAGUCAUAAAGAUAAAUGUAGGCUACCUGUGUAACAUCCUAGCUUGUUGCAUGAUUUUGUGCCCUGUGGUCCUAACAGACUAAAAAAGACUUACAUACUCACCAUGUAAGUGUGUGCGGUAGUGGAAAUAAAUGGGACCUUGGGUCCAGAAUCAGACAGAAAGAGACUACAGAGGUUCUAUAUAGAGAAAGCUCAUCUGUGAGCAACUGUUCAGCUGUUUCUGUAAUAUUCUUGCUUGCUGUCAUUACCCCAUACUCUAAAGUCCCAAUAGUUGAUCAUUUAAAUUCAGGGUAAUGGGGGCACCUGGGUGGCUCAGUGUUUGAGCGUCUGCCUUCUGCUCAGGGCGUGACCCUGAGGUCCCAGAAUCGAGUCCCAUAUCAGGCUGCCUGCAGGGAACCUGCUUCUCCCUCUGCCUGUGUCUCUGCCUCUCUCUCUCUCUGUGUCUCUCAUGAGUAAAUAAAUAAAAUCUUUUUUAAAAAAAUAUCUCAUCAUAAGAAAAA